rnacentral:rRNA from 1 species
UACGGGGGGAGCAAGCGUUGUUCGGAUUUACUGGGCGUAAAGGGCGCGUAGGCGGCCACUGCAAGUCGGUUGUGAAAUCUCCGGGCUUAACCCGGAAAGGUCAAUCGAUACUGCAGGGCUAGAGUGCGGAAGGGGCAACUGGAAUUCUCGGUGUAGCGGUGAAAUGCGUAGAUAUCCGGAGGAACACCGGUGGCGAAGGCGGCUUCCUGGACCGACACUGACGCUGAGGCGCGAAAGCUAGGGGAGCAAACAGG